UCCUAUUUUUGUGCAGUUUCUCCCCACAUAAUCGAUAAAACCCGGAAUUCAAAUAUAAUGGGAAGAACAAGAAUAGAAUCUCAUAUCAGGGUUUUUCAACGGGUGGGUGGCAAAAUCGCAAUCCCAUGAAUUAAUGUCUGUCGGCUUUGCCGAUCGAUCAUGAAUACAAUAGACGAUUGCAAUUUCUGUAAAUCACUCCAAAGGAAGGAACCGGCUGGGCAGCCAAUUGAUGAUUUCUUAAUUUCAUGGCUAAUUCCAUAUCUUGUGAAAGUGCAGUAGGGUUGGCCGGUUGGGGAAUUAACCCUCAGCUAAACCUAAGACCAUCCAGGAUAUCUCUCCACUGUAAAUCAGGAAAGAUCAAGUCUCUGGCAUCACAGAGCUCAGCAUUUUUAACUCAGAAAUCAUUUAGUGUGUCACGACCGGGCAUGGGCAUCCAUUCAUGCGGUAGGAGAGGACUCGGAGGCCCCUUUGUUGUUAGAGCCGAGCAAGAGGACUAUUACUCUGUUCUAGGGGUGCCUAAAAAUGCAAGCAAGCCAGAGAUCAAAAGUGCAUAUCGAAAACUUGCCAGGAGCUAUCAUCCAGAUGUGAACAAAGAGGCUGAUGCAGAACAAAAGUUCAAGGAGAUUACCAACGCUUACAAGGUUUUAUCAGAUGAUGAGAAACGUUCCAACUAUGACAAUUAUGGAAAGGCUGCAGGUUUUAAUGGUGGUUCUGGCAUGGGUGUGGGUAUGGGGGAUUUCAGCUACUCAUUCGAUCUCUACAACUCAUUAUUAAAAGGCAUGGGAAUGGGCGUAACAUCCUCCCCCGCCAUGGGAGGGGAAGACUUGGUCUAUAAUCUGGUUCUGGAUUUCAAAGAAGCCAUAUUCGGCACUGAGAAAGAGAUGGAAAUAACUCAUCUUGAGAGCUGCAGCAGCUGUAACGGAUCAGGAUCGGCACCCGGAGCAGAGCUGUCAAAAUGCAGCGCCUGCGAUGGCCAAGGGAAGGUUUUGUCGUCGGCAAAGACUCAUCUAGGCCUAUUUCAACAAGUGUCGCCAUGUUCGACCUGCAAUGGAGCUGGAGAAAUACCAUCUACUCCUUGCAGUACAUGUGGAGGGGGCGGCCGGAUAAGCAAGUCAAAGAGCAUUAACUUGAAAGUUCCGGCUGGGGUUGAUUCCGGUUGCCGCUUGAGGGUCAAGUCACAAGGAAAUGCUGGGAUUAGAGGAGGCCCUUCUGGCAAUGUUUUCGUUGUCAUAAAUGUUCUUCCGGAUUCUGUCCUAAAGCGCAAUGGCGCCAACAUCCUUUAUAUAUGCAAGGUUUCUUAUACUGAUGCGAUAUUAGGGACAACGGUGAUGGUACCUACUUUGGAUGGGGUGGCGGAGCUUGAAAUUCCAGCUGGCACACAGCCGUGGACAACCUUAGUUAUGGCUAACAAAGGCGCGCCUUUUUUAAACAAGACAGACGCGAGGGGUGACCAGCUGGUUAAAGUACAGGUUGAGAUACCGAAAGAGCUAAGCUUCGAGGAGAUGGCGCGCGUUGAAGAACUCGCGAAAAUGAUGCACGAGGCCAAUGCCGCUAGCAGUGUCAGCUAAAUCCAACAGUUUUCUAACAUCGUAUAUGGUUGGUUUAUUUGAGUGUAGAAUUUCGAAUACUUUUUUCAUGAGAUUGGGAAGUGGCCUCUGUGUUCCAUUAGAAUCUCCAUUGAUGAUCGAUCACACAAAAGCUCCUGCCCUGCAGAUUGAGGAAUUCCUCAGAGGUUUCUCAUCGUCAAAUACUUUGUGAUGACCAAAGCAAGAAUCAUCUUCACCCACCAUUUCUGCCCCUUGAGUGA